AGGCUUUGAUCCUGGCUCAGAACGAACGCUGGCGGCAGGCUUAACACAUGCAAGUCGAGCGAGGACUUCGGUCCUAGCGGCGGACGGGUGAGUAACGCGUGGGAACGUGCCCUUUGGUUCGGAAUAGCCCCGGGAAACUGGGAUUAACGCCGGAUGUGCCCUUCGGGGGAAAGAUUUAUCGCCAAAGGAUCGGCCCGCGUUGGAUUAGGUAGUUGGUGGGGUAAUGGCCUACCAAGCCGACGAUCCAUAGCUGGUUUGAGAGGAUGAUCAGCCACACUGGGACUGAGACACGGCCCAGACUCCUACGGGAGGCAGCAGUGGGGAAUCUUGGACAAUGGGGGCAACCCUGAUCCAGCCAUGCCGCGUGAGUGAAGAAGGCCCUAGGGUUGUAAAGCUCUUUCAGCGGGGAAGAUAAUGACGGUACCCGUCUAGAAGAAGCCCCGGCGU
rnacentral:rRNA from 1 species